rnacentral:rRNA from 1 species
GAGUUUGAUCGUGGCUCAGAUUGAACGCUGGCGGCAUGCCUUACACAUGCAAGUCGAACGGCAGCACGGGAGCUUGCUCCUGGUGGCGAGUGGCGAACGGGUGAGUAAUGCAUCGGAACGUAUCCUGGAGUGGGGGAUAACGUAGCGAAGUUACGCUAAUACCGCAUAUUCUGUGAGCAGGAAAGCGGGGGACCUUCGGGCCUCGCGCUCUUGGAGCGGCCGAUGUCGGAUUAGCUAGUUGGUGAGUUAAGGCUCACCAAGGCGACGAUCCGUAGCAGGUCUGAGAGGAUGAUCUGCCACACUGGAACUGAGACACGGU